AAUCUUUAAAUAUUUUAUUGGAAUUCACCCCUAAGAGGAUCUUUAAAUAUUUUAUUGGAAUUCACUCCUAAGAGAAUGUUUUUUAGAAACCCAGUUAAAUUUAUAAAUUUUAACUUAAGACAAAACUUAAUUAACCUGUACAUUUUGGAACAAACAGAGUACAUGACCUAAAUAACUACUAAAAUUGUCUCGUAACCAAUUUUUUUACAUGUGCAUGCUAUUAACACCUCCCUCUCCG
rnacentral:lncRNA from 1 species